GACGUAGGGCGCGAGCGUUGUCCGGAUUUAUUGGGUGUAAAGAGCUCGUAGGCGGUUUGUCGCGUCUGCUGUGAAAACCUAAGGCUCAACCUUGGGCUUGCAGUGGGUACGGGCAGACUAGAGUGCGGUAGGGGUGACUGGAAUUCCUGGUGUAGCGGUGGAAUGCGCAGAUAUCAGGAGGAACACCGAUGGCGAAGGCAGGUCACUGGGCCGCAACUGACGCUGAGGAGCGAAAGCAUGGGGAGCGAACAGG
rnacentral:rRNA from 1 species